rnacentral:ncRNA from 2 species
AGACAGUUAUAUGACUGACGGAAGUGGAAUUGACCACAUGGAGUAUAAUGGUAAAGCAGGGCCGACCGUCUGGGCGAAAGAG